rnacentral:tRNA from 1 species
GUGACUGCCGGACAGCUGGCGGUCAUGGCCUUGGUCAGGCAGAUAUCGCAGGUUCGAAUCCUGCCCGGCCCA